GGGGCCGGUUAACCUUACCGGAAGUUAGCAUUUGUAAACUAGGCAGGCUAGAGUCUUGUAGAGGGGGUAGGGAAUUACUAGGUGUAGCGGUGAAAUAGCGUAGAGAUCUCGAAAGGAAUACCAGUGGCGAAGGCGGCCCCCUGGACAAAGACUGACGCUCAGAUGCGAAAGCGUGGGGAGCAAACAGGAUUAGAUACCCUGGUAG
rnacentral:rRNA from 1 species